rnacentral:misc_RNA from 1 species
AAAGUCGUAACAAGGUUUCCGUAGGUGAACCUGCGGAAGGAUCAUUAUAAAAUUUUCAUAUAUUAAAUUUAUUUAAUAUAUAAAAUUAUAUACAAAAAUGUAUUCAAAACCCACACUCUUAUAACCAUAAAAAAAAAUAUAUUAUAUUUAUAAUAUAAUAAAAAAACAACUUUCAACAACGGAUCUCUUGGCUCUC